GUGAACCUGCGUGAAGGAUCAUUA
rnacentral:rRNA from 1 species